AACGAACGCUGGCGGCAGGCUUAACACAUGCAAGUCGAACGCCCCGCAAGGGGAGUGGCAGACGGGUGAGUAACGCGUGGGAAUCUACCCAACUCUACGGAAUAACUCAGGGAAACUUGUGCUAAUACCGUAUACGCCCUUCGGGGGAAAGAUUUAUCGGAGUUGGAUGAGCCCGCGUUGGAUUAGCUAGUUGGUGGGGUAAAGGCCUACCAAGGCGACGAUCCAUAGCUGGUCUGAGAGGAUGAUCAGCCACAUUGGGACUGAGACACGGCCCAAACUCCUACGGGGGGCAGCAGUGGGGAAUAUUGGACAAUGGGCGCAAGCCUGAUCCAGCCAUGCCGCGUGAGUGAUGAAGGCCCUAGGGUUGUAAAGCUCUUUCACCGGUGAAGAUAAUGACGGUAACCGGAGAAGAAGCCCCGGCUAACUUCGUGCCAGCCGCCGCAGUAAUAC
rnacentral:rRNA from 1 species